UCUUCUCAAUUCUCGCGGAGAUCCAGAGUUUUCUGCCCUAAAUUGUUAAAGAUUCGACGAUCCAUGACGGAAGAGGAGCCUAUCUCAAGCAGAGGGGUUUCUGCCCUAAGUCGUCAAAGAUUCGAUGAUCCAUGGCGGAAACCUUCUUUUUCUAUUUCCUCACUAUCAAAUCUCCUCCGUCCUCAACCGAGUCCAGCGCCGCCGCCUCCUCUUCAAUCGAUUGUCAAGGGCCAAAAUCGGAGUCGUCUGACAAAUACAACACAAAUGAAGGUUCCCAAAUCAAUAAAGUAAUUUUAAGUAUUUUUUGUAUAUUUUGUGCUAAUAUUUGUUGGGUUGAUAGAAUUUUAACUAUUUAUCUUUUUAUUUUAAAUAUUUAUCUAUUUGAUAACAAUGUAUAGAAAUAUGCAUGCUUGCGUCUUUUCUCACACUAAUUACAAGCUUAAUUACAAUUGUUACAGAGACUCAAUUUCAAAUUUUAGUUCUUGAAUGUGUAGUUAUUCAUAGAAAGUUCAUGAAGACGCUGCCCAAGACCUUAUCUUAUGAAGGUAUUUUACAAUUGAGAAUUAACAAAAAUUUUUUUCGCCCUUUAAUUUUGCUUCUAAUGGUUAAGUUAAUAGUGGAUCCUGAAGCAAAGCUUUGGCAUGUAAUGUGAGAUAUUUUGAAUUUUUAAAAAUUUUUAAUUUUAUUUCAAGUGAAUUUUAAAGCUUUGGGAUUUAUGGUAAAAUUAGGAUGAUGCUUUUACUUUAUGGUAAAAUUAGGAUGAUGCUUUUUCUUUGUAAUUAUAGUGAUUAAUGUUUACGGAAUUAUGGUAUUAUGACUCACAUUUCACAGUACAUGUUUUUUUUUUCUUUCCAGAAUAGAGAAACCUUAUAUGAAUAUGGAAAAAGUCAUGAGAAUAUGCCUCUUAUCAACUUUAUCUAUGUUAAUUUUGCUAAUUAUUUACAUGAUUUUCAUGUACCUUGCUGAGUUCAAAACUGGUGCUGAGAGGAAAGACGCUGCUAAGAACACACUCUUGGCCUACAAAUCUGCUCAGGACAUUGCUGUGGGUUGUCUCCAACUCAUCCGAUCAGACUUGGUUUGGCGCUCAAUGUUUCAGUGUUCUACUAUGAGAUUCUGAACUCACCUGAUCGUGCUUGUGCUCUUGCAAAGCAGGUAUAUUUUUGUUUUGCAUUGAACUCACCUGAUCGUGCUUGUGCUCUUGCAAAUCAGGUAGAUCUUUGCAAAGCAGAUUGUUAAAGUGUGGGUGAAGCAACUGACUCGACAUAGAGGGUAUACUGAUCAGAUGGUUGAGGAGGCCAAUGCUGUUAUUUUUACAUUUGGUUCUUAUCGCUUAGGAGUAAGUUGAAAUAUUACUUUCUGAGAAACAUAAUCUAUUUUUAAAUUUGAAGAAGCAAAUUGUUUCUGAUGCCUAUAUUGGAUGGACUAAAUACUUGGAAAUUCAUGUUCAAUGUUUGAAGGAGCAAAUUGUACCCGUCUUCGA